rnacentral:rRNA from 1 species
GAUGAACGCUCGCUGUGUGCCUAAUACAUGCAUGUUGAACGGGAUGUAGCAAUACAUUCAGUAGCGAAUGGGUGAGUAACACGUACCUAACCUACCUUUAAGACUGGGAUAACUAUUGGAAACAAUAGCUAAUACCGGAUAUAGUUAUUUAUCGCAUGAUGAGUAAUAGAAAGGAGCUUCACAGCUUCACUUAAAAAUGGGGGUGCGGAACAUUAGUUAGUUGGUAGGGUAAUGGCCUACCAAGACGAUGAUGUUUAGCCGGGCCGAGAGGCUGUACGGCCACACUGGGACUGAGAUACGGCCCAGACUCCUACGGGAGGCAGCAGUAAGGAAUUUUCCACAAUGAGCGAAAGCUUGAUGGAGCGACACAGCGUGCAGGAUGAAGUUCUUCGGAAUGUAAACUGCUGUUAUAAGGGAAGAAAAAAUAGAAUAGGAAAUGAUUUUAUCUUGACGGUACCUUAUUAGAAAGCGACGGCAAACUAUGUGCCAGCAGCCGCGGUAAUACAUAGGUCGCAAGCGUUAUCCGGAAUUAUUGGGCGUAAAGCGUCCGUAGGUUUUUUGCUAAGUCUGGAGUUAAAUGCUGAAGCUCAACUUCAGUCCGCUUUGGAUACUGGCAAAAUAGAAUUAUAAAGAGGUUAGCGGAAUUCCUAGUGAAGCGGUGGAAUGCGUAGAUAUUAGGAAGAACACCAAUAGGCGAAGGCAGCUAACUGGUUAUAUAUUGACACUAAGGGACGAAAGCGUGGGGAGCAAACAGG